AGUGAACGCUGGCGGUAGGCCUAACACAUGCAAGUCGAACGGCAGCACAGUAAGAGCUUGCUCUUACGGGUGGCGAGUGGCGGACGGGUGAGGAAUACAUCGGAAUCUACUUUUUCGUGGGGGAUAACGUAGGGAAACUUACGCUAAUACCGCAUACGACCUCCGGGUGAAAGCAGGGGAUCUUCGGACCUUGCGCGAUUGAAUUAGCCGAUGUCGGAUUAGCUAGUUGGCGGGGUAAAGGCCCACCAAGGCGACGAUCCGUAGCUGGUCUGAGAGGAUGAUCAGCCACACUGGAACUGAGACACGGUCCAGACUCCUACGGGAGGCAGCAGUGGGGAAUAUUGGACAAUGGGCGCAAGCCUGAUCCAGCCAUACCGCGUGGGUGAAGAAGGCCUUCGGGUUGUAAAGCCCUUUUGUUGGGAAAGAAAAGCAGCAGGUUAAUACCCCGCUGUUCUGACGGUACCCAAAGAAUAAGCACCGGCUAACUUCGUG
rnacentral:rRNA from 1 species